GGGGACGACUGGUUUUGACAGCGAGGUCAAUUAACUAGUAAGCAUGCCGAGAGAUAGAACUCAUUCUCGUAAAUCGAGGUUCUAAAACAAUAAACGGUGAAGAAUCUUUCGCCAUGGCUGCCUAAUUUCUGAAUUAAUAGUAAGAUAAGGCCUAGGCUCACAAGGUGAGCAAGCUAUGCAUCUCAUGCCAGCGCUGAUAGACCGCGUGCAAUUUAGAGAUGUCGUAAAAGUCUAGAUAGGAAAAGUAUUACUUAGCUGCUUUUCCGAAGCUCAAUAAGUUAAGCUUAGAGUAAGUUGUUUUUGACUAGCUUUUUGCCGACAAUUUGAUAAAAACUAAGCAUGUAGAAAGCUACGCGAUUGCUCGUUUGGACCCGAGUUCGAUUCUCGGCGUCUCCACAA
rnacentral:tmRNA from 1 species